rnacentral:rRNA from 1 species
GGGUUGUGAGGUUAAGCGACUAAGCGUACACGGUGGAUGCCCUGGCAGUCAGAGGCGAUGAAGGACGUGCUAAUCUGCGAUAAGCGUCGGUAAGGUGAUAUGAACCGUUAUAACCGGCGAUUUCCGAAUGGGGAAACCCAGUGUGAUUCGUCACACUAUCAUUAACUGAAUCCAUAGGUUAAUGAGGCGAACCGGGGGAACUGAAACAUCUAAGUACCCCGAGGAAAAGAAAUCAACCGAGAUUCCCCCAGUAGCGGCGAGCGAACGGGGAGCAGCCCAGAGCCUGAAUCAGUGUGUGUGUUAGUGGAAGCGUCUGGAAAGGCGCGCGAUACAGGGUGACAGCCCCGUACACAAAAAUGCACAUGCUGUGAGCUCGAUGAGUAGGGCGGGACACGUGGUAUCCUGUCUGAAUAUGGGGGGACCAUCCUCCAAGGCUAAAUACUCCUGACUGACCGAUAGUGAACCAGUACCGUGAGGGAAAGGCGAAAAGAACCCCGGCGAGGGGAGUGAAAAAGAACCUGAAACCGUGUACGUACAAGCAGUGGGAGCACGCUUAGGCGUGUGACUGCGUACCUUUUGUAUAAUGGGUCAGCGACUUAUAUUCUGUAGCAAGGUUAACCGAAUAGGGGAGCCGAAGGGAAACCGAGUCUUAACUGGGCGUUAAGUUGCAGGGUAUAGACCCGAAACCCGGUGAUCUAGCCAUGGGCAGGUUGAAGGUUGGGUAACACUAACUGGAGGACCGAACCGACUAAUGUUGAAAAAUUAGCGGAUGACUUGUGGCUGGGGGUGAAAGGCCAAUCAAACCGGGAGAUAGCUGGUUCUCCCCGAAAGCUAUUUAGGUAGCGCCUCGUGAAUUCAUCUCCGGGGGUAGAGCACUGUUUCGGCAAGGGGGUCAUCCCGACUUACCAACCCGAUGCAAACUGCGAAUACCGGAGAAUGUUAUCACGGGAGACACACGGCGGGUGCUAACGUCCGUCGUGAAGAGGGAAACAACCCAGACCGCCAGCUAAGGUCCCAAAGUCAUGGUUAAGUGGGAAACGAUGUGGGAAGGCCCAGACAGCCAGGAUGUUGGCUUAGAAGCAGCCAUCAUUUAAAGAAAGCGUAAUAGCUCACUGGUCGAGUCGGCCUGCGCGGAAGAUGUAACGGGGCUAAACCAUGCACCGAAGCUGCGGCAGCGACGCUUAUGCGUUGUUGGGUAGGGGAGCGUUCUGUAAGCCUGUGAAGGUGUGCUGUGAGGUAUGCUGGAGGUAUCAGAAGUGCGAAUGCUGACAUAAGUAACGAUAAAGCGGGUGAAAAGCCCGCUCGCCGGAAGACCAAGGGUUCCUGUCCAACGUUAAUCGGGGCAGGGUGAGUCGACCCCUAAGGCGAGGCCGAAAGGCGUAGUCGAUGGGAAACAGGUUAAUAUUCCUGUACUUGGUGUUACUGCGAAGGGGGGACGGAGAAGGCUAUGUUGGCCGGGCGACGGUUGUCCCGGUUUAAGCGUGUAGGCUGGUUUUCCAGGCAAAUCCGGAAAAUCAAGGCUGAGGCGUGAUGACGAGGCACUACGGUGCUGAAGCAACAAAUGCCCUGCUUCCAGGAAAAGCCUCUAAGCAUCAGGUAACAUCAAAUCGUACCCCAAACCGACACAGGUGGUCAGGUAGAGAAUACCAAGGCGCUUGAGAGAACUCGGGUGAAGGAACUAGGCAAAAUGGUGCCGUAACUUCGGGAGAAGGCACGCUGAUAUGUAGGUGAAGUCCCUCGCGGAUGGAGCUGAAAUCAGUCGAAGAUACCAGCUGGCUGCAACUGUUUAUUAAAAACACAGCACUGUGCAAACACGAAAGUGGACGUAUACGGUGUGACGCCUGCCCGGUGCCGGAAGGUUAAUUGAUGGGGUCAGCGCAAGCGAAGCUCUUGAUCGAAGCCCCGGUAAACGGCGGCCGUAACUAUAACGGUCCUAAGGUAGCGAAAUUCCUUGUCGGGUAAGUUCCGACCUGCACGAAUGGCGUAAUGAUGGCCAGGCUGUCUCCACCCGAGACUCAGUGAAAUUGAACUCGCUGUGAAGAUGCAGUGUACCCGCGGCAAGACGGAAAGACCCCGUGAACCUUUACUAUAGCUUGACACUGAACAUUGAGCCUUGAUGUGUAGGAUAGGUGGGAGGCUUUGAAGUGUGGACGCCAGUCUGCAUGGAGCCGACCUUGAAAUACCACCCUUUAAUGUUUGAUGUUCUAACGUUGACCCGUAAUCCGGGUUGCGGACAGUGUCUGGUGGGUAGUUUGACUGGGGCGGUCUCCUCCUAAAGAGUAACGGAGGAGCACGAAGGUUGGCUAAUCCUGGUCGGACAUCAGGAGGUUAGUGCAAUGGCAUAAGCCAGCUUGACUGCGAGCGUGACGGCGCGAGCAGGUGCGAAAGCAGGUCAUAGUGAUCCGGUGGUUCUGAAUGGAAGGGCCAUCGCUCAACGGAUAAAAGGUACUCCGGGGAUAACAGGCUGAUACCGCCCAAGAGUUCAUAUCGACGGCGGUGUUUGGCACCUCGAUGUCGGCUCAUCACAUCCUGGGGCUGAAGUAGGUCCCAAGGGUAUGGCUGUUCGCCAUUUAAAGUGGUACGCGAGCUGGGUUUAGAACGUCGUGAGACAGUUCGGUCCCUAUCUGCCGUGGGCGCUGGAGAACUGAGGGGGGCUGCUCCUAGUACGAGAGGACCGGAGUGGACGCAUCACUGGUGUUCGGGUUGUCAUGCCAAUGGCACUGCCCGGUAGCUAAAUGCGGAAGAGAUAAGUGCUGAAAGCAUCUAAGCACGAAACUUGCCCCGAGAUGAGUUCUCCCUGACUCCUUGAGAGUCCUGAAGGAACGUUGAAGACGACGACGUUGAUAGGCCGGGUGUGUAAGCGCAGCGAUGCGUUGAGCUAACCGGUACUAAUGAACCGUGAGGCUUAACCUUACAACGCCGAAG